rnacentral:lncRNA from 1 species
AUUGAAAGAAAUCGAAUGGAAUCAUCAUCGAAUGGAAUCGGGUGGAAUCAUCAAUGAAUGGAAUCGAAUGGAAUCAUAGAAUGGAAUCCAAUGUAAUCAUCUUCGAAUUGAAAACAAAGCAAUCAUUAAAUGUACUCUAAUGGAAUCAUGGAAUGGACUCGAAUGGAAUCAUCAUAGAAUGGAAUGAAAGGAAUCAUCAAAUGGACUUGAAUGAAAUCAUUGAAUGGACUCAAAAGGAAUCAUCAUCGCAUGGUAUUGAA